GCNAACGANGGCGGUGCGCUUUAUGCAUGCAAGUCGAGCGAGAAGCGUUGGUUCCGUAAGGUCCCGACGUGGAAAGCGGCGAACGGGUGCGUAACACGUGAGAAACCUGCCCCCCAGACCGGGAUAGCCCAGGGAAACUUGGAUUAAUACCGGAUACUCUCUCCGGACCGCAUGGUCUGGUGAGGAAAGGUCCGCUGCUGGGGGAUGGUCUCGCGGCCUAUCAGGUAGUUGGUGAGGUAACGGCUCACCAAGCCGAAGACGGGUAGCUGGUCUGAGAGGACGAUCAGCCACACUGGAACUGAGACACGGUCCAGACUCCUACGGGAGGCAGCAGCAGGGAAUAUUGCACAAUGGGCGAAAGCCUGAUGCAGCGACACCGCGUGCGGGAUGAAGGCCUUCGGGUUGUAAACCGCUUUCAGGAGGGAAGAAACUGACGGUACCUCCAGAAGAAGGCCCGGCCAACUACGUGCCAGCAGCCGCGGUAAU
rnacentral:rRNA from 1 species